rnacentral:rRNA from 1 species
AAAGGCGUAGUCGAUGGCUAACAGGUUGAUAUUCCUGUACCACGUUGAAUCCAUUAUGACCGAUGGGGGGACGGGGAAGGGUAAGAGAACCCAGGCGAUGGUUGUCCUGGGGCAAGUACGUAGCUAGUCGUUAUAGGAAAAUCCGUAACGGCGUUUUGACGCGAGGUGCGAUGCCAGCUGGUUUGAUUACCGGCAAGUCUCUGAGCCCAUGCCUCCAAGAAAAGCCUCUAGGCAGGAUUCAUGUGCCCGUACCGAUAACCGACACAGGUGGACAAGUAGAAGAUACUAAGGUGAGCGAGAUAACCUUCGUUAAGGAA